UGUGAUAGUUAAAUAUAUAACCACCAUGGAAAGAGAGUAAUGGCCCCAAAGAUAUCUAUAACUCAAUCCCCAAACAUCAGGGAUAAUACUUCACAUAGCCAAAGGGAUUUUGAGGAUGUGAUUAAGGCUUUUGAGAUGAGGUUAUGCUGAGUUAUAGGGCACAUGCAAAGCAAAGGGGUCAUGAGCUGUGAGAUAGUAGAGAACUUUAAGGAUUACUUUGCUGCCCCCAAAGAAGAAACCAGAAACCAAUGAGUGUGGCAGAUUUUACAAACUGGACACAGCAAGAAAACGCGUGGUCUCCCAAGGUCCCCAGAAGUACUGUGAACACUUCUGCUCACUAGGACAGACAUCCUGUCAGACUUCAGGGGCUGCAGUGUCACACAGCACAGCUGUCUUGGUUUCAGAGACCAAAGAAGCUCAAAGAUGAUGGAGAUGCACAUCUUGACUUUGCUACUGCCUGCUCUUGGACUGUGGAAGACUUACCCACCUCUCUGCGCCCAGGGGGUCCAAACAACAAAGAACUGUUCCCAUUGGGUUAUUGAGUUGAUUAUGAUGAUUUUUUUUUCAUAUCAGUGAUUUCCAUGGUGGCUGGCACACAGUGAGCACUAUGGUGUGAAUGUUUGUAUCUCCCUCCCCACUUCACUUGUCUGGUCCUAACUCCUAAGCUGGUGCUGCCAGAUGUGGUGCUUUGAUGAACCUCUUAGAUGGUGAGGUCAGGCGUCACAUGACUGAAAUUUGUGUUCCUAUGGAGAAGGCUGCGAGAUGCUAACUAGUCCGGCCUACCCUGUAACAGUGAAGAUGGUAAGCAUCUCUGAACUAAGAAACAAGCCCACACUGAAUAUACAGACACCUUAAUGUUGAAUUUCACUGCUUCUAAAAUGGUCAGAAAUAGAUUUGCAGUGUUUCUAAGCUACCCAGUUUAUGGGACUUUGUGACAGUGGCCCAGAUGGACUAAGAUAGCAUGCUACUCAGUAUUUAACAAGCAAACUGGUAGUCUUGUUCUCUUAGUGCUUCUAACACAGUGCAUUCAAUUUACUCUGCAGACCAAUAUGGAUAUUCCACUCACCUGCUGGAAGCAUUAAAUGAAUCUAUAUCAUAUACAUGAAAAUGUGAAAUACUUAAUAUUGGCCCCAUAUGACUUUCUGCUGUUUUUCCCUUCUUUUCUAUUAAAAGUCUGACUUUCAUUUA